AUUGAACGCUGGCGGCAGGCCUAACACAUGCAAGUCGGGCGAGAGGCGGACGGGUGAGUAAUGUAUGGGGAUCUGCCUGAUGGCGGGGGAUAACUACUGGAAACGGUAGCUAAUACCGCAUACCAUCAGAUGAACCCAUAGGGGAUUAGCGAGUAGGUAAGGUAACGGCUUACCUAGGCGAAGAUCCCUAGCUGGUCUGAGAGGUUGAUCAGCCACACUGGGACGGAGACACGGCCCAGACUCCUACGGGAGGCAGCAGUGGGGAAUAUUGCACAAUGGGCGCAAGCCUGAUGCAGCCAUGCCGCGUGUAUGAAGAAGGCCUUCGGGUUGUAAAGUACUUUCAGUCGGGAGGCGUUACCGACAGAAGAAGCACCGGCUAACUCCGUGCCAGCAGCCGCGGUAAUAC
rnacentral:rRNA from 1 species